CAAAUUGGGGAUAACCCGCCGAAAGGCGGGCUAAUACCGAAUGAUAUCUUGAGAACUUAUGUUUUUAGGAUCAAAGGUGGCCUCUACAUGUAAGCUAUUGUUUGAGGAUGAGCCCGCGUACCAUUAGCUUGUUGGUAGGGUAAUGGCCUACCAAGGCUGCGAUGGUUAGCUGGUCUGAGAGGAUGAUCAGCCACACUGGAACUGACACACGGUCCAGACUCCUACGGGAGGCAGCAGUGAGGAAUUUUGCGCAAUGGGGGAAACCCUGACGCAGCAACGCCGCGUGAGUGAUGAAGGCUUUCGGGUCGUAAAGCUCUGUCAAGUGGGAAGAACUCAUAUGGUGUUAAUAUCGCCAUGUGCUGACGGUACCACUGAAGGAAGCACCGGCUAACUCCGUGCCAGCAGCCGCGGUAAUACGGGGGGUGCGAGCGUUAUUCGGAAUUACUGGGCGUAAAGAGCGCGUAGGCGGUCUUUUAAGUCAGGUGUGAAAGCCCGGGGCUCAACCCCGGAAGUGCACUUGAAACUAAGAGACUUGAGUAUGGGAGAGGGAAGUGGAAUUCCUGGUGUAGCGGUGAAAUGCGUAGAUACCAGGAGGAACAUCAGUGGCGAAGGCGACUUCCUGGACCAAUACUGACGCUGAGGCGCGAAGGCGUGGGGAGCAAACAGGAUUAGAUACCCUGGUAGUCCACGCAGUAAACGGUGAACACUAGGUGUAGCGGGUAUUGACCCCUGCUGUGCCGCAGCAAACGCAUUAAGUGUUCCGCCUGGGGAGUACGGCCGCAAGGUUAAAACUCAAAGGAAUUGACGG
rnacentral:rRNA from 1 species